ncrna:Haloplanus natans DSM 17983 eL15-Euryarchaeota ribosomal protein leader
CCCGACUCGUCGGGACGACAUGUAGCCCGCCGACUUCGGCGGCGCCGAAUCGCAAG